UUAAAUGUACUGCAAUAUGAGCCAUCUUCAUCUUGGAGUCUCUUCCUCUUGUCAGCGUAUCCACAAGUUCAAUCCACCACUUCCAUAGCUCAAGAACUUGAUUUCUAGGUAUUAAGCUGGCCACGGAUGAUUUAUUCCAUAUAGCUUUCGAUUCUGGACAAAAUACAAGGGCGUGAAGAAAUUAUUCCGGUGGAGUGGAGCAACGCGGACAUAUCGAGUCAGCGUGAGGAAUUCGAUAGAGGGGUGGAAGAAAUGAUAUGCAAGUUCAUGGCUAGUUUUCACAGAGUACACUCCAGAGUUAUUGUAAAUCCAUACCAAUGGAAGGACCUCCCAUCAUCAGGUGCAUGUUCUACUAGUAAAGUUGGUCAUAACAAGAGAACUUGUAAAAAGAAAAAAUAGAUGGAGGGAAAGGAAUAAGCAAGGCAAAUGCAGCUGCAAGCCUGCAACUUGUAACUAUUGCCGCCCCUCCAUUUGAUGCUGCCCCUGCUGCUCUAAGUACUGAACCACAUCACUCACUCCCUCCACCAUCCGCAGCCGAGCAAAACGCUCCAACUGAGUUUGUGCUUAACCAGAUAGAUGCCUAUCCAUCAACACAACACACACGAAACUCACAACAGGUUACAUUUGUAACUUGAAAAAAUUAAAUGUUGUUGUUUAUAUUUGUAACUGAAAUUGUUUUUAAAUGUUAGAUGAAAUUCUUGUUGAAAUUAUGAAGAAAAUUGUGCAAAGCCCGCAAAACUAGAAGUUGUCAAGGGAAGAGCCAGAGGAAAUGCCUCCCCCCAAAUUGUUGCAACAUCAACAGCUUCUUUUUCUAUUGAAAUUAUUAGGAAAAACUAGGUCUGUCACUGCCAAAAGACUUGUAGACUAUAUGACUUUUGUUCUUACUCUAGGAUUCAAACCUUUUAAAAAAAAGGAUAAACCUACUUAAUGUUGAUUUCUAAACAUUAUGUAAUUAGGACUAGUGAUAUAUUUUUUUGUAUAAGACUUUUUUAUUGCCAUUAAAAAUAUUGUGGUUGGUUUCAUUGUUAAAUCC